GUAUUUUCAAAAAAAAAAAAAAACUAAACUUGUUUCAAACUUGAUUUAAUUCAAAUGCUAUAUACAAAAAUAUGAAAACUUUAAGGGUAGUAACAAAAAUUAAAAUGUUGAAUUACUUUCAACUUGGUUUGGUAUGACAAACCGGCAAAGGGCGGGCCAGCAGCUGCGGUUACACGGUUGAUUGGUUCAAGUGUUUCGGUUUUUUGGUUUUUUUUGGGGGGGGGGGCGAUAGGUUUGUUUUAUGGUGAAAUAAUAGCUUUUUUGGCUUUCCUGUAUUAAUUAAUGGAAGUCUAUAAAUAAAACCAGGAUUAGAUACCCUGUUAUUUUUGAUGUUUGAAUUCUGGAGUAGUAUGAGAUGUUCUUGAAACUUUAGUGUUUUGGCGGUCUUUUUUCUUGCUAGAGGAACUUGUUCUGUAAUUGAUAAUCCUCAUUAUAUUUUACUCAAUUGUGUUUGUAUACCGCUGUUGAUGAUAUUUUUAAAAUGAAAUAUUUGUUAAGUACUCUCGUUACGUCAAGUCAAGGUGCAGCUUGUUUUUGAGAUUGAAAUGAGUUACUAUAAGGGAAUUGUGGAGGAUUAGAUGAAAUGUUAUUUUGAUAUUGGAUUUAGUAGUAAUUGGGUAUUAGAGAGAUUUAAUGAAUAAAGUUUGAAAAGAUGUACAUAUCGCCCGUCACUCUCGGUGUUAGGAAAUUGAGAUAAGUCGUAACAAAGUGGGUGUACUGGAAAGUGUAUCUGGAUGAAC
rnacentral:ncRNA from 1 species